GACGAACCGUGCAAACGUUAUUCGGAAUCACUGGGCGUAAAGCGCGCGUAGGCGGUUAGAUAAGUCGAUUGUGAAAUCCCCGGGCUCAACCUGGGAAUUGCAGUCGAGACUGUCUGACUAGAGUGUAGGAGAGGGUGGUGGAAUUCCCCAAGUAGAGGUGAAAUUCGUAGAUAUGGGGAGGAACACCGGUGGCGAAGGCGGCCACCUGGACGGUAACUGACGCUGAGGAGCGAAAGCAUGGGGAGCGAACAGG
rnacentral:rRNA from 1 species